rnacentral:rRNA from 1 species
CGUACUGAGACACGGACCAGACUCCUACGGGAGGCAGCAGUGAGGAAUAUUGGACAAUGGGAGCAAUCCUGAUCCAGCCACGCCGCGUGCAGGAAGACUGCCCUAUGGGUUGUAAACUGCUUUUAUACAGGAAGAAAAAGGUGUACGUGUACACUGUUGACGGUACUGUAAGAAUAAGGAUCGGCUAACUCCGUGCCAGCAGCCGCGGUAAUACGGAGGAUCCAAGCGUUAUCCGGAAUCAUUGGGUUUAAAGGGUCCGUAGGCGGGAUAAUAAGUCAGUGGUGAAAGUCUGCAGCUCAACUGUAGAAUUGCCAUUGAUACUGUUGUUCUUGAGUUAUUGUGAAGUGGUUAGAAUGAGUAGUGUAGCGGUGAAAUGCAUAGAUAUUACUCAGAAUACCGAUUGCGAAGGCAGAUCACUAACAAUACACUGACGCUGAUGGACGAAAGCGUAGGUAGCGAACAGGAUUAGAUACCCUGGUAGUCUACGCCGUAAACGAUGGUUACUAGCUGUUCGGGUUAAUUGAGACCUGAGUGGCUAAGCGAAAGUGAUAAGUAACCCACCUGGGGAGUACGUUCGCAAGAAUGAAACUCAAAGGAAUUGACGG